rnacentral:rRNA from 1 species
UAACAUGCCUACAACAUAGUGUUAAUGCACUAGAUCCCAUUAGAACUUCACAGUUAAGCGUGCUCGGGCUAGAGUAGCACUGGGAUGGGUGAUCGCCUAAGAAGUCCUAGUGUUUUAAAAA